rnacentral:lncRNA from 1 species
UUAUUUAAAGAAUGGAAACAAAUCCCAAAGAAAUAUGUUUUUCUUGGUGCUAGUAUAAAUCUGUGUCAUAUUUAUGUAUUAAAGAAUAUUUGUAUUAUAAAUUAGUGCAAAUAUCUACAAUUGUAUGCUGUAAACUUCAUAUUGUUUUAUUAAUAUAGUAAACAUGUACGUAAUGAAGGUCAUUUUACUUCAGAUAUGAAGGUCAUUUUACUUCAGAUAUGAAGGUCAUUUCACUUCAGAUAUCUAAAUCAUUUUCAUUUCAGCAACCUUUUUUAAAUUUUAUUUUCAAGUGUGCAUAAAUCUUUUUAUCUGAUUAGUCUAUUGAAAACCAGAAAAAGCAUGGUUAUUUAACAUUUCUAUUUCCACAUAGCAUUUCGUUAAAGGAAAUUAAAUUCUCGUUUGAAAAUAUAAGUUGUAAAAAUUGAACAAGAUUGUUUCAAACUGAAAAAAAGAUUAACAAAGCUUUGUCAACAUUUUGUUAAACCUUGACCAUUUUUUGGUAGUAGAAAAUAACAAAGUAAUGAUCAUAGUUGAUGUGGUCAAUAGAUUUUUACUGGUUAAACCGUUGGUUUUCCUGUUUGAAUGGUUUAACAAUUCUCAUUUUUGAGGGCCUUUAUAGUUUGUUGUAUGUUAUGAGCCAAAGCUUCAUGUUGAAGACUGUACUUUGACCUAUAAUGGUUUACUUUAACAAAUUGCGACUUGGAUGAAGAAUUGUCUCAUUGGCACUCAUACUUUUCUGGAAAGCUAUAUGAAAUAGUUGAAUUGAUCUUUUCACAACAAUUAUGAAAUAAAACCUUAAUGUUUUAAUAGAUAUUCAUACUCAUUGCCAUUCACAGCCAAUUUUCAUUGACUCAGGACCAAAAAAAAGAUAAUUUGGUCCUAAUUUUAAAGUUGUGCAGACACAUUUGUCAUAAUUUACAUCAAUAUUGUUUAAAACAAAGUGUAUGUUUGUUUAUGGUGGUCAAGGAAUAUAAUUAUCCUACCAUCUAGAGUAUUUUAAAACUAAUACCCUUUUGGAAACCAAAUAAAAUGUAGGAAACAAAUGAUUUCUUACAGUUUUAAAUUGUUUUUUUCUAUCCCAAGACUUCUUACAAUAACAUGUAACAAAUUUGUAUAAAAGAUCUUUAGAAUCAGAUAUUUAAAAGUACAUUUCCAAAUGGUUAUCAUUCACUUUAACUUAAUAUAAUAAGAUGUAUAGUGUAAUUUAUAUUUCUAAAUGGCCAUCAUCUAUUUACCUUACAUAGUAUAGUGUCUCAAAUGCUACCAAAUGGCCAUCAGGUCUUGAGCAUCAUAUAUUAAAUUUACACAUCCAAAUGGCCAUCAUUUAUUUACCAUAUAUAGUAUAGUGUGACUCAGGGAUCAGAUUAAUUUAAACUUCAACAACUGUUAAUACAGAAAUAUUUGUAACGUUUUUAUGAUGGUGAAUUUUAAAUUAUAUUAUCAGAAUCUGUUGACAGAUUUUUUUGAAUGGCAUUAGAUAAUUUUUCCAUUUAAAUCAGUUAGUCGAACAGGACUUGUCAUGUCUAUAGUGAAACAAUAUCAUGACUAAAUUCAUUACUUAAUUUUUUUUUAAUUUGAGAUUUCUUUAUUUUUCACUUGUGAUAUAAAAAGGAUAAUGACUUGACUCAGCUGAUACACAUUUGAUGCAGCAUCCAAUAUUGAAAAAGAUGAGUACAGCACUCAUGAACUCAAACAAUUGAAGUGAGUCUCCUGAUUAACAAUGGCAAUAAUGAAUAUUUGAAUGUACUGUUCUAGUUACAUGUAGUAUUUGGUAAUAAUUGUAAUAUCGUCAAAAUAUAGAGCCGUAGUGAAGGAAGAUCCAUGUUUUAAAUUUUACGUUUGUCAAACUAAAAUGAUGUGGUGGUUAAGCUCUAAUGUUAGACAUUCUUAGUAACAUAAAUUUUUCAUUAGGAAAAAAUUUGGAGAUAAAAUUGAGAAAAAGAAAUAUAAUUCAAGUUUUAAAUUUCUUCUUUUUUUUUUUUUUAGGUCUUAUAAUGAUUUGACAGUUUCAGAUUUAGGUGUUGGCCAAAAAGGUUGUAUAGUUUGGAAAAAAAAGCUUUUAAUGCAUUAUUUUAAUUUGUUACAUGGCAUUGCUACACUUGGCACUUUUUAAUGGACAAUUAUGCUCCCAGUUUCUUCAACCUAUGAUAGCUCUUCCCUGUUAGAUUAAGAUAAAUGUUUUGAAUUCUAUCAAGUAUAACAGGAAAAAUAUAGUUAUGUUCAUUCUCCCAUAUGUACUUGUUCAGUUAGAAAUCAGAGACCAAUAAUAAAUUAAUAAACAGGGUGGCUGGCUUUGGACCAUUUUAAAUACUCUAAUGUAUUUUGAAGUAAUUAAACAACUAAGAAAAAUUAUAUAUGAUAUUUUUAAACUGGGCAUUUUUCAUCCAGGACUGGACAUGCAUAUUUCUAUCUUGAAUAUAUGAGCUAUUGAUAAAUAUAUAUAUAUAUGUUUAUAAAUAAAGAGGUAGACUACAAAUUGAAGAUUGUCAACAGCUUAUAUAUUUUUAUAGAUAGUAAGGGUUUUUGCAGGAUAAAUGUUUUAUGCCUAUCUUGUAUUGGAUAAAUUUGACCUGAAUAGCUACAAAUGUAUUCAUAAUUAAAGGUAAUUGUAAGAUAUUACAUGUAGUGAUACCCCAUCUCCCCCCCCCCCAAAGGUCUGAAAACAUUUUAAAGUUUGGACCAUACAUGCAUUGAUAUAUAUUUUAGCAAGUGACAAGUUUAGUUAUACACAACACCACACUGAUAUUAGAAAUAUCUAGCCAUGUGAAAAAAAGGAAGAUGUGGUACAACUCUCCACAAGAGACCAGAAUGACACAUAAAUUAACAACUAUAGGUCACUGUAUUACCUUCAAUAAUGAGCAAAGCCCAUACUGCAUAGCCAUCCAUGUAUUAAUUAAGCUAGGUGUGUAAGCUUUCCAAACUUAGUAUGUGUUGGAUUAUCUACAACACAUACUGAGGAACCAGAGAGAAAAAAAGCAGUCUAGAAAUUUAUUUUCAGGUCUUUUAUAUUUGAUAUUCAAAUUUUUACUUCUUUUUGCAGCUUGAAAAAAUACUGUAAUUUACCAUACAAUGGUUGUUUUGACCAAGAUAUAAUUACAAAAUUUAUAUCAUGACUUUUGUUAACUUCACAUCUCUGCAAACAUUAGUACCAACAUAGAAUACUGUGGAUUCACUUAUUUUCAUGGAUCGUGGUAUUAUUGUCGUGGUUACUAGGUAUUGUGAUUUUGACAACUUCUGUAGAAGAGACUACUAGUAUAGGAAAUCUAUAUGUGUGGAGCACUUAAAUUAAUGGUUACUUUUACCUACGAAAUCCAUUAAAAUGAGAACCAACAAAUAAUAAUGAUUCCACAGUAUAUGUUGUAGAACUUCUGUAUUGGCAGCAGAAUUGUUAUGGUAUGGGGAGUUCUGCUAAUCAAAGUUUUCUAUGAUAUUACCAAACAUUUUAAUAUGAUAUUGACAUGUUGAAUAACAUUUUAUUUUUUAAACUUUAAAAUAGUGUAGUAGUGCUGACUGUCUUUGUGAUAUUAUUGUAAUUGUGAUUUUGUUUUAUUGUAAUGUCCGUAUUUAUAAAUAGAAAUUAAUGUCAAUUGAAAAAUAUACAUUUAUGGACCAUCUAGGGUUACGUUUCAUAGAAUUUAUGUCCAAGGACUUUUUAUUAAUUAGAAAAUUUUAUAGUCAUGACUUAAAUAAGAAUAGAACUGCUCAAAGAAGAGUUUUUGUAUCAGUUGAUGGUCCAAGGAUCAUUCUAUUAAUGAUGUUAGUAUAAUUGAUCUUUUCUUAUUGUUGAAUAUGAAAUAUAUUUAUGAAGAGAAA